rnacentral:rRNA from 1 species
AUUGAACGCUGGCGGCAGGCUUAACACAUGCAAGUCGAGCGGGGGAAGGUAGCUUGCUACCGGACCUAGCGGCGGACGGGUGAGUAAUGCUUAGGAAUCUGCCUAUUAGUGGGGGACAACAUCUCGAAAGGGAUGCUAAUACCGCAUACGUCCUACGGGAGAAAGCAGGGGAUCUUCGGACCUUGCGCUAAUAGAUGAGCCUAAGUCAGAUUAGCUAGUUGGUGGGGUGAAGGACUACCAAGGCGACGAUCUGUAGCGGGUCUGAGAGGAUGAUCCGCCACACUGGGACGGAAAAACGGCCCAGACGCCUACGGGAGGCAGGAGUAGGGAAUAUUGGACAAUGGGGGGAACCCUGAUCCAGCCAUGCCGCGUGUGUGAAGAAGGCCUUAUGGUUGUAAAGCACUUUAAGCGAGGAGGAGGCUACUUUAGUUAAUACCUAGAGAUAGUGGACGUUACUCGCAGAAUAAGCACCGGCUAACUCUGUGCCAGCCGCCGCGGUAA